rnacentral:rRNA from 1 species
CCGUGAAAACUCACAGCUCAACUGUGGGCGUGCGGGCGAUACGGGCAGACUGGAGUACUGCAGGGGAGACUGGAAUUCCUGGUGUAGCGGUGGAAUGCGCAGAUAUCAGGAGGAACACCGGUGGCGAAGGCGGGUCUCUAGGCAGUAACUGACGCUGAGGAGCGAAAGCGUGGGGAGCGAACAGGAUUAGAUACCCUGGUAGUCCAUGCCGUAAACGGUGGGUACUAGGUGUGGGUUUCCU